UCCUCCUCAGGAGUCUUACAUCACGUGUCUGUGGCAGUAUGUCAUGAAGAUCAUGUUAUCUUUUCUCUUUCGGUCAGACUUACUCGACCUCUAAAGUUCUCUGUGAGCCACAAUCAAACUCAUCGCCUCAUGGGCGUUUUGAAUCCUGAGGUCUUCUGAUUCAAUGCCCAUCAAGUAAAAUACUAAUCGGCUGUCCAGUCCUGCCCUCUAACCCUGCUAAUCCUUUUUCAAGACGGGCAAAGCUGGAUGCCUCCUUCCUCCGGUGAAAUUCCUUGGAUAUAGAACGGAUGGGGUUGUGAUAUUUAUGUGCUGAGUUAGGACAUCCAACCCACAUUCCUACAAGAUGCAGUCAGACAAAGUGAUUUAUUUUCCCUAAUAUAUGCUGCUGUCCAGGUAAUGUAAAUCCUGUCAUCAGAUGGUGCACACAGGGCUCUACACUGACGUCCAUUCACCCUCCAGUUUGGUUCUAAUGCUGAAAGGGGCAUCAAUUAUGAAUAUAUCGGAUAUGACUGCGUUUGACUCCCAUUCUAAAAUCCUGUGUUACUCUCUGAGAACACAAAAAAAUCAAUACUUUUUUAAAUGUUUCUUAAAAUCAGUGUGCUGGGUGUCAUUUUGGAAAUCAGUGCUUCAUGUCACGUCAACUUUUCUGUAAUAUGGCAAGACUUCAGUUUGAGGUAGCCGGAUAUAAUUCCAAACUCUGAAAAUAAGCAUGGCUGUGAAUGUAAAAACAUCAGUGAUAUCAGUGCGUCACACCUCACUGCCUCCUUCUCUGUGCUUUGUAUUAGUACAUGUGCCAUUUUAAUAACUCAAUGUAUCAGAUGAGGUGUGUGACUUAUUGAACAGGCUUACAAUCUUAGAGUCUUGUGACCUGAUGGUAAACGUCAUUAAAAAGGAAGUGAAAGCUGUGAUAAAAAGUACCGGGAAUGCCGAGAGGGCAGAUGGCUGUGGGAAAGGGAAGUAACUAAAUGGAAAUAUCGGUUUUUAUAUCAUAUGUUGCUUUAUCUGACAAACCUGACACUCAACAAUCCAGAGACAAACAGAGGAACUUACUCUUCAACAGGCCCCUUUAUGUCACACUCAGGAUGUCAGUCUUUGAGUUUACAGUCAUCAAAGUAAGUAUGCCUGGAAACAGAUUUGGGUGCAUUGAAUUGUGUUGAUUUUAUUUUCCCACAGGAACCAUCACCUGCUGGUUUGACGACUUUCACUGUGAAGCCUUAAUUGCCCUAACCUUUAAACCACAUGUCACAAAUUAGAGAUAGAUAUGAUUUAAAAACACAAAACAUUGCACUCUCAUAUGGUUCUGGCUCAAGCAUAUGCUGCUUUACUCUAAUUCUGACCAUAUGAUACCAUAACGCUCUCAGCUGUGGCCUCACAUGAGACUAACACAUGUCGGAGCUUUUUCCUCUUUAUCACUGGCCAAUCUAAAAACUCCAGUGACAGCUACUUUUGAGAUUUUGGAGCGAUUUGUCAUUCAGCGUUGAUUUUCUUUCAGACAGAACAGGAUGUUCAUUCCAGCCAUCAGCAGGGGUUACGACAUUUGGGGAAUGGUGAAAUAAAUGAAAUAGUUAUAGCAGAAAUGAUCAGUCACACACAGAGUUAGGAGACCAAGUAGGAAACACUACUUGGUCUCCCAACAUAACAUAAUAUAACUCGUGUUCAUCCCUCUACCUAACCACAACCCUGUGCUAUCAGAAAAUAGUCCUCCAAGGUCAGUGUUAUCAGGGCGUAACAGUUUAGUUGGUGCAUGUCAAAAAAUGUUUUUACCAAAGAAGUCGUUUUUUUUUAGGGUUUGGGUUAUUUGUCAUAAAUAUAAUCAUAGCCCUCACAGAGUAAACAUUGCUAGGACCAUUAGGGAUGAUUCGGUGAUGCUAUAAUGUGUUUCUGUGAGUGCAGCGCAUACUUGAAUGCUCACACUGGAUAUCUUGAAUCACAUUUAGAGAAAAAAAUAGCUGAAGACAAAUAAAAAGUAAAUUAAAAUUAUCAUAUUUAUCCUGGGUUUGUUACUCAUUCUGAAGAAGUUACAGGUGUGUCUAUUUUCCUUUCCUAUUUCAGCUAUGUACAGAAAAAGGCGUAACCCAAUGCAAGAUGCUGGAGGCAGGAAUAAAACUCAAAUAUGUCUUUAAUUCAAGGAAAUCUGAAGAAUAUACAAAAUCUGAAACCAACGAGCAAAACAGGGAAUACCAAACUCGAGAGCUCAAGGUAGGCUUGGAAACACUGGGAAAGCAGAAGCUGGGGACACGCAGCAGCAGACAACACUACACCAAACAGAGAAAAGCACUAAUUUUUACUGCAACUAAUUAAUUUACUGCAAUCAUUUUUUUUUUUCGGAUCAGAUUUUUUGCAUGCAAAUAAACAAAUCUGACCACUCAGACCACUGCAGUUGGCAAUAAGCGCACUUGUAGCUCAAAAACCUGCAGUGACAUGGAAAUAUAAAGUAAUCCUAUUUUACCUCAGGCACAUAGUAAGACACUGCUUCAGGUCAAUCAGCUUUCAGAAAUUUGUUCAAACUGCCCUGCUGUCAUCCUCCAAAAUCAUGAUACAGCUUCAACUCCUGGAUCACACCAUGAAAUUUACCCUGCUUCUGCCUUCUCCUGAGAAUUUGGCAUUGUUUUUAUAUCUGGUGUGCAAUUAAAACACACCUGAUAACAAGGUGAGAAGUAACAGGUGUGAUGCACGAAUAGGCAAAACGGAAUUACAACACGAAUAACACAGAGAACAAGAGUUAACAAAAUAAAACAAGGCACAACUGAACGGGGAACAAGGGAGAAAAGAGAAUGGGAACACAAAAAGGAAUCUACUCAAUAAACCUUAGGAUCUCUGGACAUGACAUCAAAUAACACCAUUCAGAACUCAUACAAGGCAUCAGGCAAAAAAACAAGAGGUGUAAACACUAAUAAAUAACAGAAAGCUAAACUAAAGCAAAAAGUUCCAAACUAGACUAAACUCUAAACUCUGGCUCCAAAAACCAGACGAUCAUGACAUUUUUAAGUUUUAAUACUCUGAGUGAUAGAUCGAUGUUCAGCCAGAACUCACCAGGAAGUAGCUGUGAACAAGAUUACUGAUAUUUAUUAGGUUAGUUCUCCAUCGUUAACAGUUUCUCUGCAUGUUUUAUUGUUCGAGCUGUUGUCGGAUGAGUCUGGAAAACUCUUCUGGCUCCUCCUCCUCCUCAAUCCCUGAAACCUAGACUGUCAGGUUUCGGUUAUCUGGGGGUCAACUGAAUUAUUGGUAUUUUAUAUGGAUGCAAGAUAACCAACGAGUAAAAAAGAGGAACACCACAAAGACAGAAGAUUUUAAUUUUCUUUUCUCUUUUGCAUGCCUUUGUCUUUAAAUAAAACUAGGGUUUGACAAACUACAUUUUAGAGAUACAUGAUUCUACAGGACUUGUUUUAAUUAGCUUCCUUCGGUCUGAGCUGCGGCUGGGACAUUUUCAUUAUGACUCACUGACAUUUAUUGCAGUCAUAAAUAAAGUUUUUUAACUGCAAAGGAAAUUAAAAGCAACAGAGAAUUGAAUUGUGUGUCUGCUGUUCUCCGAAGGUCUCGGGUUAAAUAAUGCAUGUAAUGGUUCUUUUUAAUAUAAAACUCUAGAUACAGCUCGGCUUUCUUUAUGACUGAGCCAUGUGGGCCAUAAAGUCAGUUUUACAGAGAAGUAAAUUGUCUCCGUUUUCUAGGAACAAACAGAUGAAGCACUGCUCUCCAAUGUGAAGUUGGCCUUUCUUUUUUCACCAUCAUUCAUGCCAAAACCUCCCGAGACCCAGGAAUUGUUAAUCAAAUAUACAUGCAAGUGCUGCUGUUUGGCACCCAAUACAAGAUAGAUGCAUUUUGUUGGAUUGUUUGAUUUUUAUAAUCGUUUAGCACAGACCACUAACUCAAAGGGCAAGCAGUGAGCAGUUAAUGUUGUAAAGUGAAUGAGUUGACCACAAACAGAUGUGAAAGGACUACAGAGACAUUCAAAACAGCUGUACAAAGAAACAAGGCAACCAAAAACUCUUGCAGACUUUGAACACAUUGUAGACAAGCGCGCUUCUUUGUGGGAGGAGCCCUAUGAAGGACCAGGAUCACUACACAUCACUGAGCCUGCCAGUGAAAGAACGAAACCCCUCAGCUGUCUGCGGCGUUUUCACGUGGAGCGUGUCAUAAAAAAUGGAAGGAGCCUGUGGAGAGUGACAAACUGCACUUCCCGUUACAGACAUUUAAGAUUGUCUCAUAAAGUGCAUUAAUCUCCACGGACUCCUAUGUUAAAAUACCCAAUUUCAACUCUGAAUUUAGCAUGUUUCCAACCUGGUACCAAACAGCUUUUUGGGUUUCUGUGGAUAGUUUUCCAUACUUCAUCACAGCUGUAUAGGUGGUGAGGGUGAGUGGGUUCUUCUUCUUAAAUAUCCCCUGUAAUUUUUUU